UACGGAGGGUGCAAGCGUUAAUCGGAAUUACUGGGCGUAAAGCGUGCGCAGGCGGUUUGUUAAGUCUGCUGUGAAAUCCCCGAGCUCAACUUGGGAAUUGCAGUGGAUACUGGCAGGCUGGAGUAUGGUAGAGGAAGGUGGAAUUCCCGGUGUAGCAGUGAAAUGCGUAGAGAUCGGGAGGAACACCAGUGGCGAAGGCAGCCCCCUGGGUCAAGACUGACGCUCAUGCACGAAAGCGUGGGGAGCAAACAGG
rnacentral:rRNA from 1 species